CUUCGUUACUCAAUUCAUUAUCACAACCGCGAUUCGUCAGUACCCUCAUUGUCACUAUUGUUAUUAAUUAACAUUUUGUUUCUGUUGAUGAAGAUAAGAUUCUCGUAAAUAUAAUUAAAUUUUAAAAACCCCAGAAGAAAUUCGCGUUAAUUAGAUAAUGUAAGUUUACGUCGCGUUAAUAAAGUGCAUCGUUAAUUUCCUUCAAGGUAGAUGUUACAUCUUAUGAACAAAAGUUAUGCAAAACAACAAUUAACAUGUUGAGAAAUCGCCAAUUAAACACCCAUGAUAAAACAAGCUAGAAUCUACAGAUAAAUCGCAAUAUAGAAAAAUAAAAUAUAUUCUAUUCUGUGGUCCAAUGCUCU